AUUGAACGCUGGCGGCAUGCCUUACACAUGCAGGUCGAACGGUAACAGGUCUUCGGAUGCUGACGAGUGGCGAACGGGUGAGUAAUACAUCGGAACGUGCCUAGUAGUGGGGGAUAACUACUCGAAAGAGUGGCUAAUACCGCAUGAGAUCUACGGAUGAAAGCAGGGGAUCGCAAGACCUUGUGCUACUAGAGCGGCCGAUGGCAGAUUAGGUAGUUGGUGGGAUAAAAGCUUACCAAGCCGACGAUCUGUAGCUGGUCUGAGAGGACGAUCAGCCACACUGGGACUAGGAAACGGCCAGACUCCUACGGGAGGCAGCAGUGGGGAAUUUUGGACAAUGGGCGCAAGCCUGAUCCAGCAAUGCCGCGUGCAGGAUGAAGGCCUUCGGGUUGUAAACUGCUUUUGUACGGAACGAAAAGCCCCGGGUUAAUACCCUGGGGUCAUGACGGUACCGUAAGAAUAAGCACCGGCUAACUACGUGCCAGCCGCCGCGGUAA
rnacentral:rRNA from 1 species